AGUACGGCGGAACACGAGAAAUUCCGUCGGAAUCCGCGGGGACCAUCCCGCAAGGCUAAAUACUCCCUAGUGACCGAUAGUGAACCAGUACCGUGAGGGAAAGGUGAAAAGCACCCCGGAAGGGGAGUGAAAUAGAUCCUGAAACCGUGUGCCUACAACAAGUCAAAGCUCGUUAAUGAGUGAUGGCGUGCCUUUUGUAGAAUGAACCGGCGAGUUACGAUUGCAUGCGAGGUUAAGUCGAAGAGACGGAGCCGCAGCGAAAGCGAGUCUGAAUAGGGCGAAUGAGUAUGUAGUCGUAGACCCGAAACCAUGUGAUCUACCCAUGUCCAGGUUGAAGGUGCGGUAAAACGCACUGGAGGACCGAACCCACGUACGUUGAAAAGUGCGGGGAUGAGGUGUGGGUAGCGGAGAAAUUCCAAACGAACUUGGAGAUAGCUGGUUCUCUCCGAAAUAGCUUUAGGGCUAGCCUCGGAAUUGAGAAUGAUGGAGGUAGAGCACUGUUUGGACUAGGGGCCCAUCUCGGGUUACCGAAUUCAGAUAAACUCCGAAUGCCAUUCAUUUAUAUCCGGGAGUCAGACUGCGAGUGAUAAGAUCCGUAGUCGAAAGGGAAACAGCCCAGACCACCAGCUAAGGUCCCAAAAUAUAUGUUAAGUGGAAAAGGAUGUGGGGUUGCACAGACAACUAGGAUGUUGGCUUAGAAGCAGCCACCAUUUAAAGAGUGCGUAAUAGCUCACUAGUCGAGUGACCCUGCGCCGAAAAUGUACCGGGGCUAAACAUAUUACCGAAGCUGUGGACUACACCAUUAGGUGUAGUGGUAGGAGAGCGUUCUAAGGGCGUUGAAGGUCGAUCGUGAGGACGGCUGGAGCGCUUAGAAGUGAGAAUGCCGGUAUGAGUAGCGAAAGACAGGUGAGAAUCCUGUCCACCGUAUGACUAAGGUUUCCUGGGGAAGGCUCGUCCGCCCAGGGUUAGUCGGGACCUAAGCCGAGGCCGAUAGGCGUAGGCGAUGGACAACAGGUUGAUAUUCCUGUACCAGUUGUUUUUGUUUGA
rnacentral:rRNA from 1 species